rnacentral:rRNA from 1 species
CAAGCGUUGUUCGGAUUCAUUGGGCGUAAAGGGUGUGUAGGCGGCGUGGUAAGUCGGGUGUGAAAUCUUGGAGCUUAACUCCGAAACUGCAUUCGAUACUGCCGUGCUUGAGGACUGGAGAGGAGACUGGAAUUUACGGUGUAGCGGUGAAAUGCGUAGAUAUCGUAAGGAAGACCAGUGGCGAAGGCGGGUCUCUGGACAGUUCCUGACGCUGAGGCACGAAGGCCAGGGGAGCAAACGGG